rnacentral:lncRNA from 1 species
AAGUUUGCAGUCAUGAGCUAGUAAAAAUUAACCCUAGCAUAAGGUCCACAGUUUAGCUUGAAAAGCUAACAGCAUAUAAACCACAGACUGUCAUUGUACCAGAACAAAAGCAGUUACUGGGUGAUUGCUCACCAUUUAAGUACUGUGUUAGGAAUAAUAGUAUCUGGAUGAAGUGUAUCUAUUUUUCAAUAACUGCUUUGUGUGGAAAUACUAAUACAAGCUGAGCAAUUUGUAUUCUGAUGUGUUUUAGUUGGAGACUUCUGAAACACAAAUGGUUUCAAACUACUUCCUUCUACCCACACCUAGCCUGCUCCUCACUUAAAGGAAGACUGUCCCGGCACCCUGCCCUUGUCCCAAAUACAAAGCCAUAUCCCUGUGGAAAAAGAGCAAAGAUACCUCAAAAAUUCAAGCAGGUACAGCCAGAGGACACAUCCCUGUGGCACAGUUUUACAGAGUCCUCUCCUGUUUGAGGCUUUAAUAUACCUACUGCACAAGACAUCCUGCUUUGCUGGGAGAACCUCUCAUAAUCCUUUGGCCUGCUCUACUAUGAGGCCUGCAGGAGGACAGAGCAGAGGCUCUGGAGCUGAUGACUGCAGGAGGCUGAAGAAAAACACAUCAUGUCAGAGAGAGCCACACGAUAAUUUCCUAGAUGAUGACCUCAUAGAUAAUUUCAGCUUCUUUUCUGUUGUGGAAGUAAAUUUGGGUGAUAAAAAGUGAACAUAAUUUAAAAAAAAAAAAGUGCAAGAAAACUAAAAAUUUGAUGGAAUUAUAGGACAAGGAGAAGAUAAGGAAGGGACAAGGAAAGAUGGCUUAAAAAUCAGGGAUUGCUCUGCCUGUGCUCGAGGCCCACUCUGACACAGCACAACUUGGUGACCUGAACCAGCCUGCUGUGAAAGCUCAGGCUAAUCAAGAUUCUGGACUAUUGGAAGACUGGGAAUGAUGUUUCUGUUCAUGCUUCCAGCUACAACCCAGUCAACUUAAAAAACCAGGAUAAGUUCAUAAGAGUUUCUCUUUCCUUCCGUUAAAAGAUAUUGCACAUGUAUAUUUCAAAUAUAUGUGUGAUACACUGCUCAAGUCUUUGUAAUAAAAAUUGUAAUGUAAUAAAAAUAGUAAACUUAUUCUAA